CAACCUCAUCUCUCAGCUUUUUUGUAAAAGAAGGCUGUCUGGAGAUGGUGAUGGACGCUUGCCUGACUGCAUAAGUCUGGCUCGUCUGAAAUAUAUCAGUAGCUCUUAUCGAGCCCGGUCUGACUAUGUGUGAUAAUUUGAUCGCAUAGGAUGUGCUUGCACAACCGGAUCUCUUAGCAGAGUCUGCUUCCAACUCGGAAUGGUUAGAGAGGAACUUUCUGCCAUCGACAGCUUUAUUU
rnacentral:misc_RNA from 1 species